rnacentral:lncRNA from 1 species
CCUCUGCAGUAAUCAAGGCCCCCAGGAGUCCCUUAGUGAGAUCCGGAGCUCCCAAGCCCAGCCCAAGGCUCCUGCUUAACCCUGCAUUUUCUGGAAGCACAUCCCCACAGACUCCACGCCUGGAGAGGAGCCGGGGUUGUCCCUUUCUGUCUCUAACAACACCGGCUGUCAACAAUUUUGUAAAGUGAGUUCUGCUCUCCCACAGACUUGCACCAUGAACUUGGAAAUCUCUGACUCCACAUCACUGCCCAGAGUGCAGGCUCCCUCCUUUCCCU